rnacentral:rRNA from 1 species
CGGAGUGGCGGACGGGUGAGGAAUACAUCGGAAUCUACUCUGUCGUGGGGGGAUAACGUAGGGAAACUUACGCUAAUACCGCAUACGACCUACGGGUGAAAGCAGGGGAUCUUCGGACCUUGCGCGAUUGAAUGAGCCGAUGUCGGAUUAGCUAGUUGGCGGGGUAAAGGCCCACCAAGGCGACGAUCCGUAGCUGGUCUGAGAGGAUGAUCAGCCACACUGGAACUGAUACACGGUCCAGACUCCUACGGGAGGCAGCAGGG